CUCCCAUGAUGCACCAACACAACAUGUCUAUGACAUGUUUUGCCCAUCACCCUUUGUCCAUCCUAAUGUCAUGGCCGGCCACUACUAGAUGGGGGGAAAAAUUGACAUGCAAGUCCCCCCUUUUUCAACAUGCACUAAUAGGUCCUUAUGUUUUGAUCUAUCACAUUUCAAAAAUGUCACACAUAAGUCCUAUUGACUAAAUUCACAUGCAACUUACUAAAUAGAAGCUUAAAAUUUUCACACAUUUAUUUUAGACAAUAAAUAUCAUAUUCAAACAAUUUGGUGACUCGGUUUAGCGGUCCCGAAACCACUUUCCUACUAGGGUCACUUUAGGGCUGUCACA
rnacentral:lncRNA from 1 species